GUAGUAACAAGACUUCGUAUACAGUGGGACACUCCGAAUAUGUAGGUUAUCAUAGACUACAGUUCUGUUGUAGCGUUCUGGAAGGCCCAUCUGAUCUAGCCUUCUGUCUUAAGGUAAAUUGUGUUUCUUAAACAAACAGUUAUCUACUUUAUUCUGUGUGCAUUGGUGUUUUGCUGCAUGUAUGUCGGUAUGAGGAUAUCAGAUCCCCUGUAACUGAGGUACCAUGUGGGUGCUGGGGAAUUGAACCUGGGGCCAUCUCUCCAGCCUGUAAAUUGUUUACUUAACAGAUGUUUUUUUUUUUUCUUUUCCUUUUCUGAAAAUAUCAGGAUCCGACAGUUUCAGUUAGUGUUAGAUCUUGUUCUGUAAAUUCCCCAGCAACCUUCCGUAUCCUUAAGUCAUCACCUCCAGAGGGAGAUAGAUGGUGAUGCAGAUGUAGAGGGUGACCUGAAAUUGAUUCUCCUGUCAUGCUCUGCCCUUAAGGAACAGGGCUGGCAUCUCCAUUCAUCUGCUCACAUCUUUACUGAUGUGGCUGCUGGAGGUGGUGAUUCUGGCGCCUAAACAAAUGCAGAAGCAUCCUGUGAGGGUCAGGCCUUACUUAUGGAGGUCUCCAGAGAAGCUUGGCUGCGCCACAAGACAGAUUUUCUAGGUUGGCUCUAUGUGGUAGGAUGUUGAGACGUGCCAGUCACAGGGAGACAGGAAGAGAGUGAGCAGUCAUUUGAAAACAUCUUAGUGUCCGUAUGGAAGUCUCAUAUGCAAUAUGCAGAGGAAGAAAUAAUUAAAUUAGUUUAUGACUCUAAUAUGUAAUUUAACAGUAGAAAAUAUACAUCCAUAUUUUGUGCUUGAAGACUGGUCUCGAUUUUCUAGGUUUUUAGUGCUUCUUAAAAAUUUUCUAAAGUCAUAAAAGAUACAUAACAGCCUCAAAUUUUUUCAUUAUAUGCAAUAUGAAAGGUUUUUUGUUUUUAUUUUUGUUUUGUUUCCUGUGCUGAGAAUCAAACCCAGGGCUCCCUGCAUACUAGUCAAGUUCUCUACCACUAGUCAAUAGUUUCUCUUUUGAUUUUGAGAUGGGGUUCUCAGUGUUGCCCAGACUCCCUCAAAUUCCUGGACUUGAAUGACUCUCCUAGACUCUCCUACCUUAGCCUAUUGAAGCUUUCUCUCUGCUAAGGCUGAAGUCAAGAGAAGUAUUUUCUGCCUUCUCUAGAUUCCUCCCAUUUCUAAAUAGAUGAAUAUGACUACAGUUGCUAAAACAAAUAGCUUCUAUAUACUCACUGUUAUUUAAGGAGCUAGCAUAUUUAAAAUUUUUAGAAUAGGAGAGAUUGUUCAGGCAUUUAAAUAUUUUUAUUAUAUAUUCAGCUUUUUGUUUAAAAGUACUUUAUGUGAAAAUUCACUUAGGAGAAAAAUUAAUAGCUUUCCAAUAUUAUUUUAAAAUUUCUCCUUUACCUGGUCACAUGCUAUCCAUGCUAGUUUAAAUAAAGAUAUAUGUUUCUUCCUUGAAAGCUUUUCCUAUUCAAAAUGACAUAAGUAGAAAAAUAUUAACAAAUGGUAUGGUUUUAAAUGUUUUAAAUAUCAUUUCAUUAUACGUGUAAUUGGGGGCACACGCCAUAGGGCCCUGUGGAGGAGGCCAGAGGACAGACUUUUGGGCUUAGUUCUCUCCAUUCACCUUUAAGCGGGUUUUUAGGAUUAAGCCUGGGCCACAAGGCUUCUGUAAAGCACCUUUACCCCAACCUUCUUGCUGCAUUUCCAUUCGAGACUAAAGAAUCACUGUUUCGGUUUCUUAAAAUAGUUGUAAGACUCUAAGGGAGGGAAAUGUAUCUUAUACUUCUAAGUCUCACAGCAUACACGCACACACACACAAACACACACACAGUGUACACGCGCACACACACACACACACACACACACAGCGUAAACACACACACACACACAUCCUUCCUAGUUCAUUCCACAAACACACCGAGCACAUACAUACAGCGAUGUAUGCAUUGUCUUGCAUUGAUGGCCUUAGGUUAUAAAACAAGAUAUAAUUCAUGGAAAAACAUUAAAAAUAGAUGGGGGCACCCCCUUUAAUCCCAGCACUCAGGAGGCAGAGGCAGGCAGAUUUCUUGAGUUUGAGGCCAGCCUCAUCUCAAAGCAAGUUCCAGGAGCAGCCAGGACUACACACAGAGAAACCACCUCUUAAACCAGCAAACUUUAGGAGCCAGCAAAUGGCUCAGCAGAUGGAGGUUCUGCACUGCAAGCCUGAGGUCAGAUAGAUAGAGGGACCGCAGUACAAGCCUGAGGUCAGAUAGAUAGAGGGACCGCAGUACAAGCCUGAGGUCACUCCCUCACUCCCCACAAAUCCACAACAAGGUCGAAGGGGAAAGCCAGUUACACAAAGGAGUCCUCUGACCUCACAUUUAUAACCCAUGGUACACAGUCUCCCCCAUCUCUCACACACACACACACACACACACACACACACACACACACACACACACACACACAUGCAUACCACAUGCACACACAUACACUCACACACCUUCAUUUUUAAAAAAAAUUUAUGUGAAAUUCAAAUGACUACUUAACACAUGAGUAAAUCAUUCAUAUUAUCGUUUAUCAGGGACUGUAAAUCAAGACCAACACAGUGAAAUUCUUUGUGUUUUGGAUUAUAGAUGACUAUCAUCCAAAAGUCAGAUAAAAAUAAGUGUUAGUGAGGAGUUAGAAGGAAUUGGAAACCUUACAAACUGUUAAUAAGGUUUAAAAUCUGUUGCCUUUGGGAAAGUUUAGCCGUUCCUCAAAAGGUUCAACUUGAAGUGAGGUGCCCCAUCAGUUCAGUGCUAGAAUACAAAUAAAAUAAAGGAGAGCACAUGUCGGCACCAAGGCUUGCUUGUUCCCAGCAAGAUGAUUCAGAGAAACCUAAGAGGAAACCACUAUGAGUCUAAGUAGAAUGAAAUCUAAUAAAGUUACAAAGUGGAAUAUUAUUCAGCAAUGAAAAUUCACUCAGAUCAUACUUCUACAGAAAUGGACCUUGAAAAUGUGCUCACAAAAGACCACAUACCUUCUUUCCUUCUUCCUUCCCUCCCUCUUUUCCUCCCUCUCUCCUUCCUUCCCCCCUCCUCCUCCUUCCUUCCUCCUUUCUUCUUCUUCUUCCUUCCUCCUUUCUUCUUCUUCUUCCUUCCUCCUUUCUUCUUCGUCUUCUUCUUCUUCUUCUUCUUCUUCUUCUUCUUCUUCUUCUUCUUCUUCUUCUUCUUCUUCUUCUUCUUCUUCUUCUUCUUCUUCUCCUUCUUCUUCUUCUUCUUCUUCUCCUUCUUCUUCUCCUCCUCCUCCUCCUCCUCCUUCUCUCUCUCUCUCUCUCUCUCUCUCUCUCUCUCUCUCUCUCUCUCUCUCUCUCAGAUCUAUUUAUUUUACUUUAUAUGUAUGAGUGCUUUGCAUGCACAUCUCUGUGCACUGUGUUUGUGACUGGUACCCACAGAGACCAGAAGGGAGCAGAAGUUCCCUUGGAAUUGGAGUUAGAGAUGGUUGAAGCCACCAUGUGGGUGCUGGGAAUCAAACUUGGGUCCUCAUCAAGGGCAGCCAGGGCCCUAAACUGCUGAACCACCUCUCCAGCCCCUAUUUCUAUGAAGUGUCUACAGUUGGCCAUUCUGUAGAGAUAGAAAGUAUAUUAUCAGUGGUUGCCGCAGGAGCGGGGGGUGGGGGUGGGAGGGGGCAGCUGGAUUGGGAGAAUUAGAGGCAACUGCUAAUGUGUGUGGGAUUCUCCUUGAAGAGAUGAAAAUAUUCUAAGAUAAGUGUGGUAACAGGUGCCCACAUCUGUGAACGGACUGAAAACUGUUGAUUUACACACUUUAAGUUAUUGAGCCGUGUGCUUUGCAAAUUAUAUCCAAUAAAAUGGUCACAUUUUUAAGCUGUGUAAAGGA